AUGAACGCUGGCGGCGUGCCUAAUACAUGCAAGUCGAGCGAACGGACGCGAAGCUUGCUUCUCUGAUGUUAGCGGCGGCCGGGUGAGUAACACGUGGAUAACCUACCUAUCCUUCUGGGAUAACUUCGGUACACCGGAGCUAAUACCGGAUAAUAUUUUGAUCCGCAUGGUUCAAAAGUUAAAGACGGUCUUUCUGUCACUUAUAGCUGGUUCCGCGCUGCAUUAGCUAGUUGGUAAGGUAACGGCUUACCAAGGCAACGAUGCAUAGCCGACCGGAGAGGGUGAUCGGCCACACUGGAACUGAGACACGGUCCAGACUCCUACGGGAGGCAGCAGUAGGGAAUCUUCCGCAAUGGGCGAAAGCAUGACGGAGCAACGCCGCGUGAGUGAUGAAGGUCUUCGGAUCGUAAAACUCUGUUAUUAGGGAAGAACAUAUGUGUAAGUAACUGUGCACAGAGUGACGGUACCUAAUCAGAAAGCCACGGCUAACUACGUG
rnacentral:rRNA from 1 species